AACGUACUCCCUCCGUCCGGAAAUACUUGUCCUUAAAAUGGAUAAAAUGAAUGUAUCUAUAACUAAAAUAAGUCUAGAUACAACCAUUCCGAGGACAAGUAUUUUCGGACGGAGGUAGUACGCG
rfam:Triticum aestivum genome assembly, contig: Triticum_aestivum_CS42_TGACv1_scaffold_130475_2BL